rnacentral:rRNA from 1 species
UACGGAGGGGGCUAGCGUUGUUCGGAAUUACUGGGCGUAAAGCGUGCGCAGGCGGUUUUGUAAGCCAGAUGUGAAAUCCCCGGGCUUAACCUGGGAAUGGCAUUUGGGACUGCAAGGCUGGAGUGUGGCAGAGGAGACGUGGAAUUCCCGGUGUAGCAGUGAAAUGCGUAGAUAUCGGGAGGAAUACCGAUGGCGAAGGCAGGUCUCUGGGCUGACACUGACGCUCAUGCACGAAAGCGUGGGGAGCAAACAGG